GGGUUGUGAGGUUAAGCGACUAAGCGUACACGGUGGAUGCCCUGGCAGUCAGAGGCGAUGAAGGGCGUGCUAAUCUGCGAUAAGCGCCGGUAAGGUGAUAUGAACCGUUAUAACCGGCGAUACCCGAAUGGGGAAACCCAGUGUGACUCGUCACACUAUCAUUAACUGAAUUCAUAGGUUAAUGAGGCGAACCGGGGGAACUGAAACAUCUAAGUACCCCGAGGAAAAGAAAUCAACCGAGAUUCCCCCAGUAGCGGCGAGCGAACGGGGAGGAGCCCAGAGCCUGAAUCAGCAUGUGUGUUAGUGGAAGCGUCUGGAAAGGCGCGCGAUACAGGGUGACAGCCCCGUACACAAAAGCGCAUGUGCUGUGAGCUCGAUGAGUAGGGCGGGACACGUGGUAUCCUGUCUGAAUAUGGGGGGACCAUCCUCCAAGGCUAAAUACUCCUGACUGACCGAUAGUGAACCAGUACCGUGAGGGAAAGGCGAAAAGAACCCCGGCGAGGGGAGUGAAAAAGAACCUGAAACCGUGUACGUACAAGCAGUGGGAGCACAGGUUUACCUGUGUGACUGCGUACCUUUUGUAUAAUGGGUCAGCGACUUAUAUUCUGUAGCAAGGUUAACCGUAUAGGGGAGCCG
rnacentral:rRNA from 1 species